rnacentral:sRNA from 1 species
AUUUUCCAUUCCUGACAUCUAUGACUGCUCCAGCUGAAGCUAAGAAUGGUCUACCUAGGAUUCGGAGAUCCUUGCCUUCUUCAUCUACGUCCAAUACCAUAAAAUCUGUAGGUAUCUCGACAUUUCCAAUCUUGACAGGCAUAUUUUCUAUUAGACCAUGAGGAUGUGCAACAGAACCAUCAGCUAAGAGUAAAGCUAAGUUGUAGAACUUGUAUUUCAUGAUCCCUAGCCUUUUAGCUUUAGAGAGAGGCAUAAGGCUAACAGAUGCUCCCAAAUCACAAAGGCA